rnacentral:misc_RNA from 1 species
UGGCUCUCGCAUCGAUGAAGAACGCAGCGAAAUGCGAUAAGUAAUGUGGAUUGCAGAAUUCAGUGAAUCAUCGAAUCUUUGAACGCACCUUGCGCUCCUUGGUAUUCCGAGGAGCAUGCCUGUUUGAGUGUCAUGGUACUCUCUAUCCAACUCGUUUCUAAUGAGUUUGAAUAGGAUUUGGAGGUCUGCCGGUGUUUACCAUCGGCUCCUCUUAAAUGCAUUAGCGCGAAUGUUUACCAAACAUUCCUCAGUGUGAUAAUUGUCUACGCUGUGGUCAGUGAGGUUUCAUUAAAUUCACGCUUCUAAUCGUCCUUUACUGGACAAUACUUUUGACAUCUGACCUCAAAUCAGGUAGGACUACCCGCUGA